UCUGGUCAGUUGCAUUUCGGUGGAGGCAGUUCAAGGUGCCCGCCAUGGGAACUGAACAAGUGUGACUCAGCUAGCCGGGAGGACACGAGGUUCAAGAUGGCGCUCCUUCUCUACCACAUGCUUCUACAGCCCCUCCCCCCAAGAGCAGUCCCUUGUGACUGAGAAGGCAUACUUGUUCCAGUUCUCAUGGACACUUAUCAGUGAAUGGAUCCAAGGAGAAAGAAGGUCAGCACACCUGGUCCCUGAGUGGAACUCACAGACUGAAGAUGCUGAGGCAGCUGAAUAAAGAAUCCCAAGUGUGCACCUUAUUA